AUUGAACGCUGGCGGCAUGCCUUACACAUGCAAGUCGAACGGCAGCACGGGAGCAAUCCUGGUGGCGAGUGGCGAACGGGUGAGUAAUAUAUCGGAACGUGCCCAGUCGUGGGGAUAACGUAGCGAAAGCUACGCUAAUACCGCAUACGAUCUAUGGAUGAAAGCGGGGGAUCGCAAGACCUCGCGCGAUUGGAGCGGCCGAUAUCAGAUUAGGUAGUUGGUGAGGUAAAGGCUCACCAAGCCGACGAUCUGUAGCUGGUCUGAGAGGACGACCAGCCACACUGGGACUGAGACACGGCCAGACUCCUACGGGAGGCAGCAGUGGGAAUUUGGACAAUGGGCGCAAGCCUGAUCCAGCAAUGCCGCGUGCGGGAUGAAGGCCUCGGUUGUAACGUAGUC
rnacentral:rRNA from 1 species